UAGUGAAAUGCCUGAUAAAAGGAUUAUUUUGAUAGAAUAAAUUAUGUACUGAGUACUUUUACU
rnacentral:tRNA from 1 species